rnacentral:ribozyme from 1 species
GCAUUUUUUGUUGUUUGAUUUGUUAUUUGUGUCGGAAGAUAUUUCUCCAAAGCUGAGAGUAUUUUUGAUAAUGAAGUGAGAGGGUCUACGAUGAUCGAGAUUUAAGAAAAAGAGGGGACA